rnacentral:rRNA from 1 species
GAUGAACGCCGGCGGUGUGCCUAAUACAUGCAAGUCGUACGCACUGGCCCAACUGAUUGAUGGUGCUUGCACCUGAUUGGCGAUGGAUCACCAGUGAGUGGCGGACGGGUGAGUAACACGUAGGUAACCUGCCCCGGAGCGGGGGAUAACAUUUGGAAACAGAUGCUAAUACCGCAUAACAACAAAAGCCGCAUGGUUUUUGUUUGAAAGAUGGCUUUGGCUAUCACUCUGGGAUGGACCUGCGGUGCAUUAGCUAGUUGGUGAGGUAACGGCCCACCAAGGCGACGAUCAGUAGCCGACCUGAGAGGGUGAUCGGCCACAUUGGGACUGAGACACGGCCCAA